rnacentral:lncRNA from 1 species
ACAGCACAUGCAUUAGCGGGAGUGGAAUCACAUUUCCAAGCACUGUGUCUUCUCCUCCUCCUCCUCUUCCAACUGAAUAUGCUCUUUCACAGUUCUUGGCAUAGCCCAGAAGUACCAAACCACAUAAACAUAUCCCACCAUAGCCUCGUGGUAAGACCACAAUGUAGAAGAAGAUGAUCCACAUCCUAGUUCGCUAGCACAUAUAACACCAAUUGACGCAGUCAACCUUCCACUUUCUAAGAUUUUCUGCCAUCAAGAUCACCUCUCUAGUAGCUAGAUCAGUGAAAAUACACACCAUCCUCAGCACCUUUGGUAUCCACAUUGCGCUGCAAAGGAAAACUUCCUCUUCCCCAACCAAAAGUUUCUCGUAAAAGGACUUGACGGAGAACAUUCUUUCUCAAACCCUAUCACAAAGCAUCGAGAUUAUCUACUGCUGUAACUUGGUUAUGGAGUAGAGCCAACAUUUUUUAAAACACAAUCACCUCGCAAUCACGGUAGUCUCUCCUAAAUCUCAAGUGCUAAAAAGUCUUUCCACCUUGUGUCCUCCUAAUUUGUUGUAUUAUCAAGUCUCUCUGGCAAGAUAUUCUGUAUAGGCUUGAAAACUCUUCUUUCAAUAAAUUAUUCCAACUCCACGUAUGAUCCCAAAAGUUAACUUUCCUCCAUUUCAAACCUUAAUGAGACAUUACUCGGUAAUGGUACUAUCCCUUAAUGAUGUUCCUCCGCUACCCACACCUAAAAUGCAUAGACAAAUCUCUAGAUCUCCACCCCUUUCUAUAGCCCCAUAUUUAUCGACUAUUAUCCCUCUCCAAGAAGCAUUUACCCCCAUCUCAAAUCUCUCCAACUAAUUACCCAGCAAGGUUUUCUUAAACACCUUUAAGUCUUUAAUACCAAGCGCUCCCCAUGUUUUAGGAGAUGUGACAGUCUCUACCCGCACCAAGUGACAUUUCCUUGCCCCUCCCGCCACGUCCCAAAGAAAUUUGUUUUUGGAUCCUUUCCAGCUUUCCUGUGACUGAAGAUGGAGCAUGAACAAAAGACAAGAAAUAGGUGGGAAUACUCGAUAAUGUGCUCUUGAUAAGCACUUCCUUGCCACCUUUGGACAAAUAUCUUUCUGUCGAAGCACCUAAAGGUAAUCCAAGAUCAACAGUUGGGAGAACCCCCCUGCAACUCAAAACCUGAUCAAGCGAUCGAACGCCCUCCUCCCUGACGGGUAUAAUCUCACACGUCAUUAAAUUAAUUUUAAGUCCUGACACCACCUGGAACCAAGUAAGCACUUUUUAAAAUAAUCCCGUUGGGUCACAUCUGCCAUACUGUUAAAGAAGUGGUGAUAACUUCUGUCAUUCCUCCUAAGCUUAAAAAUUCUCCCAACCAUAUCGUUAAAGAAGUGGUGCUAGCUUCAAAUCGGAUUAAUGCAAUACACUGUGGAUGGAUUAGGACUUUUAACAGAUAACUUGCUUCAAGAAGUCCAAGUGCAAAUACAACAACAACAACAUACCCAGUAUAUUCCCAGAAAGUGGGGUAAGAAGUCCAAGUGCAAAUAUGAACUUAAUUCAAUGUAGUAGAAAAACGUUACCCAAGCUUGCAAGAACCUUGACCUAGUACGUGCGGCAACAGCUGCAGACACCAUUCUUGCAGCCCGAGUACUCUCAAGUCCAACAUUAUCAGCAAGCCCAGCAACGAACUUUUGUGCUUCCUCGCCAUCAAUUAGAACAAAAGCUGACUGACUUGCAGUGCUGCAGAAGAGCAAAGUAGAGGAAGUUUAAGAGGGUAAAAAGAUGCAAAAGCAGAUUUAGCAAUCAGCCAUCAAGCUAAAUGGACUACCUUUCACAAUAAUUAAGAACAAAGUCGACUGCCACGCGAUAAAGGGUAUCACGUGCAUUCUCAGUAUCAAAUGAAACUUUCACGUUUGAUAUCCUCCCUAUGCGCCGUAACUACAAAUGGACCAGCAUGUUAGCAUAAAUUAGAGCAUAACUUAUGCCUUGGAAAAUAAAAUAUCAUAAUGAAGUUGAACAAUUCUUUAAUCGUUUUCUCCAGUUAAGUGACAGAUUUUUAAAAAGAAAAAGAGGAACUGAGACAGUACCACGCAAAAUAAAGAGGCUAUCUAACUUGUAGUUUCACCAAAGUUGUUUGAAAGAUCGGUAAAGACAGCUAUAUACAGGAAAAGCAUUCACAUAUACACACACACACAUACACACACUCUUGCCUUUUCUGGAUUCCCGUACCACACUGCCUUCCAAAUAAAAAAGGCCAUGUAACAUGUAAUACCACUGUAAUUUCAAGGUUCAGAAAGCAUGGAAAUUGGCAAGGACAACAUUAUACAGGUAAAAUAAACCACACCCCUCAUGCUUUCCUGGUUGCCCUACCACACUGCAACAGAAAGUAGCAUGGGUCCUAGAUCACUAUUUUGACUUGUUAAGUCUUUCGAUCGACAGACUAAACUGAAACCAUCCCAGUUUAAAGAUCUAUGUUCUCUGAAAAGAAAAUGUAUCCACUGGGUGCUUCCACCAGCUCCACUCUCCCACUAUCCCUAGGGAAUACCUCAGUUCGCAAAAAAAAAUAAAAAAUCUCAACGCACUUAUUAGAAAAAAUUCCUUAUGAUGUAAAUUUAUCACAAAAGGAAGAAAGAUCUAUAUGUGAUGUCCAUUGAUCUAGAGAAAGCAUAUGAUAUUAAAUAUAUAAACGUCAUAAAGGACAUGUCUGAAGAAGCUAUCAUUAGCACGAAACUGGUAGUAUCUCACAACAAUGGGUCUACACCACGGAUAGGCAUUGAGCCCCUAUUUUUUUACCCUGGUUAUGUAUGAGCUAACCAACACAAUAGAAGAUGAGGUCUGGUAGCGCAUGUUAUUUGCUAAUGGUAUUGUGUACUGUUAAUAGACAAAUUUAGUGACGGUCUCGACCAAAAGCAUGAACUACGGUCUCGACCAAAAGCAUGAACUAUCAUGAACCACCUUAGCAAGUAAGGGUUUUAUGAUAAGUAGAGGUAAGACAGAAUAGGUGCAUUGCAAACAGUUUUGAUAUAUAGGCUCAUUUUUCUAGAAAAUGAAAUGAUAGACGAGCGUUGAAAAUGCUAAGAUGGUAUGCAGUCAUGCAAGAUUAAAUAUGAUUCAAAAUAACCACAUCGGACAAAAUGUGUAAGUUGCAUGCAUUGAGGAUAAAUGAGGAAAGACCCAUAAAGAUGGUAUGGCAUGUCCUGCAACAAUUUAAAGAUGCACCAGUCCAUAGGUGUGAAACCAUGGUGAAUGAAAGUGUCAAAACGGGAUGGAUAGACCUAAAACCACAUGGAGGGAAUUUUGUCUCGAAAAGCUGAAAAGCCUACAAAUUCUUGGCAUUAAUCAGACUCGGUUAAAGAUAAGUGCACAAUGGAGAAAAAUGUCUAUAUAGGUGAUAUGUACUAGUCGGGAACAAGUUCUAGUCUUGUUAGGAACUUGUAAUAGUAUUACUAUUAUCUGUAUCUGUUUAAUUUAUUUUGUUUGGUAUGAUAACGACAUGGCUUGAGCUUAAGGGUGUGUUUGGAGCGGAGGAAAACUUUUUUUUUUGUGAUCAGGUAAACAUUCUUUCAUUCAUAGGUCCUAACUAGUCUGGGACUAACGAAUUUUUGUUUUUUUCUUAUGCCUAUUAGCUUUGCAUCAACAUUUUAAUUUCUACUAGUUCUUGCCAUCAUGACAACCACGGAGUUACCUUAUCAUUAUCACUGAAAUCUUUUACUUGAUUAGAAAAACAACAACCAUGGAGUCCAUCAUAACAUAACACUCUAUUAUGCAUCCACAAAGCAUAAAAAGACUAACCAAACUAAGCACAUUGAACAGAAAGGUCCGCUAUUCCAACUAAAUAAAACCAAAAAAAAAAGGUACUUCCAUAAAACUUAGUGUCAAAUGAGCGGGGGUUGGGUUGAAUUUGGGCGAGCAAAAUGGGAUGAGUUAAUAAAAUGCUAUACUCCACUUCCCAAUUGUCGACUACUAUACCUGCUGGCUUCUCCUACAACAGAAAGUUCAAAAAGAAAAUAAAAGGGAGGACAAGAAAGAUUGAGUUUAGUGUGGCUGUGGCAUUGUUAAAAGACUUUGAUAAUGUGGUUACUUCAUUCUUAAAAUUUCCUUUCCUGAAAUGGAGCUCACAUUCCCAUAUAUUUAUGUAUAUAAUUGCAAAUUUGCAAGUUCGAGAUGCUGCUUGGAGCAAAUGGUCUAGUGACAAAUUCAUUAAAUAUAAAGGGGACUGUAAACUAAAGCAAACAACUAAACAAGUAUGCAAACAAUUUACACUUGUAUAAAAAUAAAGAUAGUGAAAACAGAGAAGCCAUUAACAUACUGACUUGAAUAAUGUCAUCCGCCAAAAUGUCCCUCCCUGUCAUUCUAUUGUCCAAGAUGGCUGGAAAGCAAAUUUGUAAACUGUGAUUUAAAAGGAAAUGCAUAACUAAACAAUCAACGUGGAAGUUUGAAAACCUCAAGAUCAUACAUUUUCCAAUAUGAAACACAAAACGCAAUAGCUACAUAUAUGACAUAUAAUUCAAUUGAAUCUAAAAUCCAAUUAUAUGUUAACUAUGUUGCAGCAGAAAAAAUGCAUUUUAAAUUCACUCUCCAGAAUGUGUAACAGACCUUUUUGAUAAGGGUGUGGUAACAGACUAAGAAGCCACUAGGACAAGCUAUUACCUCCAAACGAGAAAAUAAACAAGUUGUGCAGACAUUACAGAUUUGCUUAACUUUAUACUUGAAGGAUCAAGAUAGACCAGCCCCCAAACUAAGGGACCCUUUGUGUUAAAGUUCACUCUUUUACAGCUAUUAUAUGCAUUGGAGAGUGUGCCCAGGGUUCUAGUUCUAGUUAAAGCUUCUAGUAAUGAUUAUCAUACUAGGAGUUCUAGUUCAAGGGAUUAAACAAUAUGAUAAUUCAGAUACGAAAGAACAGGAGCACACCUAAGAAUAGCCUGGAAAAUAAAAUUACCUCGAAUCAAUCUAUUGGCCAUUCUCUGAUACUCUUCUUGAUUCUCUGCCCCAACUUGAUCCGAACCAGAACUCGAAACAGGCCACCAUUUCGGCAACUGCUCCACCGAACUCUUCUUCUUUCGCCUCCUAAUUCGACUGGCCCAACCCCAAUUACUGUUCACGUCAUCACCAUCCAACACAUUAGGUUUCUUCCUAUCAACCGUGAUCUCAUUUUUAGCAACAAGUACUUCUCUUCCACCCAAACUACGGUCUCUUUUAUACACUAAUUCAACAUUGUUGUUUCGGGUGUUGUGUCGUAACCCCAGCACUAGCUUAAAAAUAGUUCUAAGAGUGAAAAUAACUAAGAAACUGGUGAGUAAUAGAGUUCCUACGAAUUUAACAGUGGUCCUUCUGCAGGAGAAGAGAAGUCUGCCGUCAUUACUAUCAAUACGGAUGAGAGUUUGCAAGUCGUCAAUGGCAGCUCGGCCUGAGUGGACGAAUUCAUCGAGCUUGGAGUGAAGAAGGUCCUUGAAUGAGUAUAAGGAUUUGGUAGGCAAAUUAUCGACGGUAAGGAUGAAUUGGAGAUUUUGAUCGGACGGUGGAGCUUCUUCAAUGGUGAACUUUUUAUGGAGGAGACGGCGGCGGAAGUGGCGGCGACGGGGAGGAGAGGAGGAGAGUCGGCGAGAAAUGAGAAGGCAAUAACGACAUCGUUUUGGGAUGGAGGGAGAGAGAGAGAUGAUACUAUAGAGAGAGAGGUUCAUGGCAUUUGUGUCAGAUGAAAAUCUCAACUCUUUUCAUUGUUACUACGACGACCAACAGCAGAUAAGUACACGAGACAAAAAAUAAAUACACUACGCCUCUUUUUUUUUUUUUUUUUUUUUAUACACCAUGAUAACUCGUGAACACUAUCAUAGCCUCAGCUCGAUCCGGAAGACAUUAUGGCAAGUAGGCAUGCGACAUGCUCGAUUCGAAAAAUAUUGAGACAGAUCUCUGUCAUAGCCGAAGAUCGAUUCUAGACCAUUCGUGUGAAUAACCAUUCUCCAAACUAAUACUCUCUGAGUUGUUAUUCCACCCAUUUAUGAUUUAUUAUAGUCAUAAGAAGAUCAGAUGAAAAGUUGCAAUUAAAAAGUUGAUAAAAAAUGAAGAGGUCGACGGAGAAAGAACAUAGAAUAAAUUGAAAUCGGAGUAGCAAGGAGAAGUAAACGUAUAGGUUUUCUACGCUGAGUAUAGUCUACUGUGUCCAUUAACUUCAUAUAUAGAUUAAUUUAACAAGAGUUUUAAAAGUACAGGAACAGCCAAAUAUCUAGUAUUUUGUUGUACAAUGUGCCAUCUUUUAUGCAAAGAGAUGAUGACAUCCUUCAGUACGUUAUAGGAUAACAAUCAAUAUUUUUGAGCCAUCCUUUUUUUUAGACCAGGAUAAACCAACAUCUCCUUGUAAAUAAACAUCAACAAAUUCUAUCGCACAGGUCUACGUCAUCAAAAUUCACUUGAUUACAAGAAUAUAUGAAAGAAUUGAUAACUGUUUACAACAAAAUCAAUGUAUAACACUACACAUGUCUCUUUGUAAAUGGUAUGUAACUUAUACAACAUUGGUAGCUUGUAUAUGUAUUGCAUGACAACUAUACUCCUGUUGUCUACCUAAAACUCAUCCAUCAACACAUCUUUCUGUCCAGACGAACAAUCCCGGAAGCAGAAGGAUUGACCAACUUUUGGAGAGAAGAAAAGAGAAACAUCACGACUGUUUCUUCCCUUAUUUGUUCUGGAUAUUACACUGAAUAACCUUGUAUUCUACUCUCCCCGUAAAUGCUCACCACCAAAUACGCUAGAGAUGAACUACAAUAACAAUUCUCCGGUAAGCAAAUUGUAUUUACAGAAGGAAAAAAGGUCUAAUUACAAUAAACAAAUACCAUAUCCAGGAACAGAGUUUUCAAGACCAACAAAUACUAAGACAUGCAGGAUAAAGUUCUCACGUCAAUCUGGUGGUAGAAGAUGCAUUUUAGUUGUAAAUCAUUCGACAUAGUUGGAAUCUGACAACGCCAACGACAUUAACUUAGCUUCUUGGUGUCUAUAUCUAUAUCUCAUAACAUGGCUAACUGAAAAUAGCAUAACUUACUGUACUCACCUUCAGAUUUAGAAACUACUUGAUGUAAAAAAGUUCUUUAAUAAGUGAAAAUAAAACAAAUUAAUUGCAUCUGUUGGUGGUGAAAUAAUAUAUUCUUCUUGAUUAGUUCUUUUCGUACAAAUCAGAAUAAAAGGAGAAACAGGACAUGAUGAACAUUCCCAUUAGAUGCCCAAGGUGCCAACUGAACUAUGCUAAUCUUCUUUUCAGUCCACCCACAUGUUGUCCAUGAAUAAGUGGUGCAACCAAGAAAUAUAUCCAUAAACAAUAAAACGUUUGAGCAUGGUCUUAAUUUAUGUGUAUCUAAGUUUAACAAAUUGGAUCAGAAAGUAUAGAAACAUAAGCAGACUUACAGUUCAAAUAAAGUCAUCUUGGAAGAAGUGGCUGUCUUUCAUCAGGCCCUACUCGAUGACUAGCCUGGAAAAGAAAUUUGCAUGAAAUCCGUCAAGUUAAGUAGGAAAUACAGAAAAACAGUAUCUAUAAAUUCCUGAUAAGAAAGAUCCAUACCUCCUCAUUUGCCCCUGCUGCUAUAUUUACGAAGGAUGAAUCUUUUGAGCUGAAAAUAAUAAAAUGGAAGUUGUAACAUAUGCAUCUUUUUAAACUUUAGGAGUGAGUAGGGGUCAAAAGGAGGGAUUGGCAGGAGUGAACAUGCAUCUCAGUGAUGUACAGCUUUCAAUAUUAACAAGUAAAGUAAAUACCGAUGGUUCUCCCGGGCAUCAAUCAGCUCCAAUGACCCGUUUUGCUGGUCAUCUUUAACUUUUGCAAGAGGUGAAAAGAACUGAAGUAUGAAAGUUGUAUGGUCAGUCCAAAGAGAAAAUUGGAAAUACCAGAGGGACAAUUAUCUCAAUUUUCGACAAUUAUCUCAAUUUUAAGAGAAAAUGGGAAAUACCAGAGGGACAAUUAUCUCAAUUUUAAUACCUGGUGCAUUGAGAUAAAAACAACAGAAAUCCCAAGAAGAAAGUUUGCAGUCAGUCUAUGACCAAACAACAAAGCAGAUGCUAUGCCUGUAAAUAUUGUUGCGACGGUCGAAGAGUACUUCUUCAGAAUCGUAUCUGGUACAAACAAAUUGUGUCAUAAAGUAGAAUAUCAUAAAGGAAAAAUGUUCUUGUUAAAACUGUUAUGGGUUACACAGAAGCACCAAGUAGAAACAUAUAACAACCCCAUUAAUAGAGCAUAUGAAGAGCAAAAAAAGGUGGAGCAAAUUGAGUAAUAAUCUAACCAGCAUAUUUGAAAAAGAAGGAUGAAAGAAUUCCUUGCGCCGCAUUGUUAACAAUUAGAAGCAUGGUUGCCUUCGAAUGCCCCUGAAAAAUAUCCAAACUACCAGGACCUGAAAAAUUCAGAAGAAACGUUACAGCGCCUGGAGGAAUAUUGUCCGACAAAGGCCUUACUCUGAAGUAAAAUCAUUUUUUUGAUUGAUAAACUGAAGUAGGAUCGUUUUGAUCCGUGAUCUCAUAUGUUGCAACUUCAAUUACCACGACGGAGAAGCUUUUCAAAACAAAGACACAGCUUUUGCACAGGGUACAAGCAUACACAUACAUUUCUUCAUGAGGGUUCCCUAUAACCACUCCACUCUUAUAGAGAAGAUACAUAUACAUUUGUAUUUUACCAUUAAGAGAUACUAUGAUUUUUGAUAAGAUUUGGACCACUAUGACGUUACAGUAACACGAUUUACACUCAGAGGGAGAAGUGAUGUCAUUUGCAAUUUUGUAUGUUUUCUCCUGGCGGUACAAUCCAGGGCAGGUGUAAUAGUGUGGUAUUUAUAACUAUAACAGUUAACUUGAAGAUGUUUCAUGAAAGCAAAGAUCUAAGAACUAUAAUGAUAUUAAGAUAGUAAAUUAAAAAUGUCAUUCUUUUCACAAAACUGUGAAAUCAGUAAAGUCCAGUGCAGGUAUUUAGUCAAUUGUUAUUUUUGCAUUGUCAAGUACCAAAUUGUGAAUUAUAGGAAAAGCCUCAGAAUCAACCCAUUACCUUUAAAUACAGCAAUCCCAAGAAUGGCUAGAAAGUUGAAUAUAGCGCCAUAUCCGUACAGAAAUAAGUUCUGCAAAUUAAACAGUAAUAUAUCAGAUGGUUCAGGAAGAGAGUACUGAUGAAAGUCACACUCAGUCACCCACUCUCUAUGAAUGGAGAAAUUAGCAUCAUCGCUGUUGCUAGAGAGACAAGAUCUGAAGUCCUACAACUGGACAAGUGAUGCUGCUCUAGGAAAAGAUCCUAGUACAAGUCGGAUAAGAAAAUAAGGCAAAGGAAAAAGCCAGCACAAACAGUGAAACUGAAAGAAAACCUUUUCUUAUGUUCAUCAUACCUAAGAAGUAUUCCAUAUGGAAUUAUAACUAAAUUACAAUGUUACAUGUUUAUCAUAAGAAUCAUAUUGAAUCUUAACUAAUUACUUUGUUACAUUUUUUCUUAUUCCCUUUUAGAAGGCAUUUGAAGUCAGAAUUUACCAUUGGCUAAUGUUCUUGGACAGAUCUUAAAUGUGCUAAGUCUCCAAAGAAUCAAAUGUUGCAGUAAACUGGCACUGUUAAGUACCUCAAGUAUAGGAACAUAAAAAUGGUACAUACAUUCAAAAGUAACAAACGUCCCGUGAAAGAAGGCAGAGGAAAAUAAUGAGCCAAUCUAACCACACAACAUUCUGAUGAUACAAAAUAAGAAAAAUGCUAAUCAUCCAUGGUGAACUUACCUGGAGAUAAAUGCUAGUGUCAUACUGACUCUUCAAAGCAUACUCAUUGAAUACUGAGGCCAUAGAAGGCACAGUGACCUGCGUAAAGAAAAAACUUCCCUUAGCCAGUAAUAAACUAGUACUUUAAAUGCUGUCCGGGCAUUUACUAAGGCCUUCUCAAAUAACAAACAGAAUAGAACCGGUAGUAGGUUGUUUAAAUUACUUACAAAAACCAGUGUGUAGAUGUACGCAAUUGUGGUGACUGGAAGAGCCAAUGAAGUGGCGCCUUCAGGAAGGGAUCGAAGUUGAUUAAUGCUGAUCCCAAUUAGCAACAGAGCAAGAGCCUCCCACUGUAACACAAUAAGUCCUAUUAUAUGGGUAUACAACUUCCCCUGCAAGAUCAAUAUUGCACCACCAGCUUAUUUUACUAGAUCGAAAAAACUAACCUGUAUUACGGAAAAUCGCCGUUUCAUGAUAAGUUUCAACAGCAUAGCAAUAACCAAAACCUGCACUUUGACAACAAAGAAGCAAAUAUUAAAGAAAAGCACUACCAUAGCAUAAUAUCCAAGAAAGUAUUCUGAAAGAUAUCCUUCGUGCUGGUAUAUAAUAGUGAAAUCGAAAAGCUCAUCAACUGAUAUGUAGAGUCUCAGGUAUUGAAAAGAAAUAAUCGCCUUUUUUUAUAAGGUAAAUUUCAUCAAUAAAAUAACAAGACGGUUCUAAAAGCAUGCAAACUACAAUGCAACUGCACCUGCUACAUUCGCAAAGCUUCUAUAAAAUUCAUGUACUGAUCUAAGUCUUCUGCCAUACUUACCUACACCACAAGUAAAGAUUAUGACGGCAACUAUUCUUAACACUAGCUAAAUGAUUCUUCCAAUUCUCAAAAUAUCUCUUUAUCUUUUCCAACCAAAUGGUCCAAAAGAUGCAAAGAGAUAUCGUUUUCCCGAUUUGCUUUUUAUUUUUCCCGACUUUCUGAUUCUGGCAACAAAUCAAUAGAUAUUUCACAUUCUUUGGCAUCACCCAUUGCACACAGCGAAUCCAUGAACAAUGAUUCAUACAAAACUCAAUCACAACCAAAUGUUAAUUUUGAAUUCAGAUGAGCUCUUGAUAUAGGAAAGAAGUAUCGUUGGAUCAGAUUUAAACUCAGCACCUCUUUUACAAGAUUGAACAUUGAUGAAUUUGGAUUAUAUCCACCCAAAAAAAUUAUCUGAUUAACAACAGUUUCAGGCUAAUAACUUUAGGGGUCAUUUGGUUCAUUGAAAAGUUACGCAGCAAUUAUUAUCAUACAAUGAUAUCAUUUUUAAUUGUUACUCUUUUGGUUUAUUGUAUCAAACUAUGGAGGUGAAACACAUCGUCUAUUGUCUAAAAUGUGUGUGUAGUUUAAGUUGGACAAAGAUUUGUUCGAGUACCCUUGGCCUAUAUUACAUCGCUUUGUUCAAUCUAAUAUUAAUUUGUCACAUUUGUAAUUAAUAUAAUUAGAUUAAUAUAAUUAAAAGACAGUUAUAAUUGUAACUGCUUUUAAAAGCUCAGCUAAAAGACAAUUCUAAGGUAAAAGUAACAGUGAGAUAUACACAAAUAUGAUACAAAUAAUUAAUCCUGCAUUUUUAUUUUUAUUUUUUGGAAAUUUACUUUAACCGCUUACUUAUAAUUUUAAACGAACAUCGUUGCGAACAAACAAAGAGUGUUAACAAAAAAAUAACACUCCCUCCAACCGAAUUUAUGUGCCAAUUUAUGAGGCACAUUUUCCUUCUCAGUGCAUCCCAAAAAAGGAACAUUACCUUUCUACGGUUAAGAACAACUUAACUUUAAAAUUCCUACCCUCUCAGAUCCCACUUUGUGAGACCGAGGGAAUAGUAAAACCGUGAAGGUGUGAGUCCAAUGGACGGACACUAGAAACUCAUGUUUGCCGACAUGAGAAUUGGUCAUGGCGACCAUUUAUGAUACUUACGGGGUACACGGGAAUCCCCUAAGUACACUUGUACAUAUGUAUCAUAGAGAACGAAGGGUAUUCGAGAAUCCCCUACUCCUAUGGUAUCUCCGAUUCGUACGGCUACACGCAUCGGGGCCCGUUCAGGGGGUUACACUACACUGGACCCAUAUAGCCCAUGUGAGUCUAUUUUUAUACAGUUCUCUGUACUCUUAACACAUGCAUUGCUAGUACACGUAUUGAUAUUCCAUACUAAGGUGGUGAAAUAGCACCGAAAUUUCCACAACUAAUGCUGAUAUUAUUAAUACAGAAAUAAAAAGAUGACAACGGAACACCUGUCAAUUGAUACUAGAAUUUACCUGAAUCAUUCUUGAACCGACUUACUAAUGUGGAAAAAACAAAAUGUAGCAGAUAAUGCAAAAGAAAGAAGAGGAACCAGAGUCAAUAAAACAAUUGAAGAAUUCGGCAGAAAAUCAGCAAAAACAAUCAGAUGAUAUAUUGUAGCAGUGGUCAAAUAUAGCAGUUACCUUCAGAUUGCUCAGCAUCUUCACUGUUGCUGGGUUGAAAUAUAACUGUACAAAAAUAUUUGAGGGAAAAUGUGAGAAAAAGGAGAAGCGGUAAAAGAGAACCAGAGUGUAUAGUCUGGUAGCUAGCAAGCUGUGACUUAAAGAUUAUAUUGGACAGUGAAAAGAUCUUAAUAGUAAUAGAACAUCCAAUAACAUAUGUAUACAUGACUCGGUAAAUUCAAAGCCAAACAUGACACAAAUUUGAUAGAGGUGUCUCACUAACUGUUACAGCGAAUGGAGACAUAAAGAAGAGACUCCAUAAACCAAUACAGCGUUAUGAAAGAUGAAUUUAGUUCUCCAUUUACAUCUUAGCCAUGAGAGGAAAGAGUCAAGCCAUCACUUGUUUCCUACAACACCAUGACAUGGCAUGUCUACACAUGCCAGACGUUCAUCCAGGGAUAUGUGGUAACAAGGUAAUUAGUUAUUCAGAAGCCCCCCUUCUUUAGAAUUUUUCGGCGUGCUAAGGACUAUGCGAUAGCCAGCAGGAAAUAUUGUGUCCACUGACGCCAGAGAUAGAAGUUUGUUAUUAGCUACAACAUACCCAGUAUAUUCCCACACAGUGGGGUAUAGGGAGGGUAGAAUGUACGCAGUCCAUGCCACUACCUCAGAAGUGAGGUAGAGAAGCUGUUUCCGAUAGACCCCCGGCUAAGUUCUGAAUGUUGCUUUAGUACAUAGAGUGGUGAUUCCUUAGAGAUUAGGAAUCAUCACUCUAUGUACUAAAGCAGCAUUCAGAUUUCUUAUUUUGAGGUAUAAAUCCAACUGCCUAGUUCAGAAGUCUAUAUGUAACCUUAGAAACUAGCACUGGCUAUAUCCCAACUUUUGACACAGACAGGUAAAGUUUGAGAGUAUCUUAUCUCAUGGAAGACCAGUAAUUCUCUAUUUAUACCAUGGAUGCAACUAGACAAUGUUCCAACUUUAUUUUAUGUACAGUACAAGUAAAAAUGCAGAGCCAAAAUGUACAAUGCUGGAUGAAAUAACAAAACUACCAAAAUUGUCGCUCAGAGAACUGAAAAGCACAGAAAAGCUCAACAAAUAGUACCUGCAUUAUGAACUUUAGGUAGUUAUUUAUGGCAUAGAGUAGUGCUGGUACAGCAAGAAGCACAUUGUUUCGUGCAGCCUGAAGAAAAAUAAAAGAUGGUCAGGUAAAAUUAUCAAGUACUAGCAAGCCUGUUAAAUGACUUGGCAGCAUGUUUGCACAACAAUACAAUGGAAACUAACUAAACAAUGCAUGUCGAGACUGUAAGAUCUCAGUCACACAGAACAGCUGUCAAUCAACACAGAAUCUGAAAUCUAUACAUGACGGACACAUCAAUUCUCUAAGAAGCCAAAAUAGAUUGGUGACGACAAAAAGUAAACCAGGAUGCAGAUAAGAAUUAGUCGAUUUUUAAAUGGAUCAAACAGCGCAAUAAAGAAAAGUGGAAGCUCUUGUGCAGUCAACAAUCCACUAGGUAUCAGAAGUCUUUUGAAUCUUUUUUGUAAGUCAAAUAUUCAUAACUAGAUACCAAGCAGGCGUCAAAAAUAUGUAUCAAUUGUUUCAUGACUCGGCCGGAGCUAUUUACUGGCAUUUAUCAGGUUGCCAACCACAUACACAACUGCGAACGGCAACAACUGGAGAUCCAUCUUUUUCAUUUGCUGAGUGACUACAACUGGAGCUCUUACAAUAAAUACGCUACACUUACCCUUUUUUUCCCUCCCCAACCCCCGCUGACUUAGUCUUGUUGUUUAUGGACCUUAGGUCACAUUAGAAGCUUCAGAAGAGGAAACCCAGUUAUUUGCAAGCAUCAAUUAGUCACUUAAAUGAUGUUCCCAUUUCACAUCAGACGAACUGACAAUUGAAAGAAAAGGAGCAAAGCUAGGUAAAAAGCGUGAAGUUUUCUUUUUCUGGCCAAGUGCAAACUUGAAUUGUCUAUAUGGAGAAGACAAAACUCAUCUGCAACAAAACUUGGCAGCUUAGCAUUACAUAUAUGUGAGAAAUAACAGUGGAAAUAUGAAGAGGGUCCGACUUCCAUGCUCGGUCCACGAAAUCUCAGGCAAGACAAAACUUGCAGUUCAACACUAUGUAGAAAUAUGAGAAGGUUCUAACUUCCAAGGUCGGUUCAAAAUAUAUCAAUGUUCAGCAUGUCUUUUGCAUUUUACCUGUACAAAUGUGGAUAUUGAAAGAAGUGGUUUUUCUCCAACCUUUUGAUGCCUGGCCUGCAGAAACAAUCCAAAAAGAAACAUGUUUGAGCUAUCGAAAAGAAAAUUGUAAGAGUAAAAUCAAAAACAUAAAAAUAGUGUACCUGGAUUAAAAGCAUUAUUAUUGCAAAGACAACUUUUGUCGCCUCCGUCAAGAAGUUGACACUUACAGGACUAAACUUGAAUUUUCCAUCCACUUUCGACAUAAAUACUAAAACAGGCUGAAACGGAAAAUAAAAUGCUUGGUCAAGCAUGUCUUUCUCAUUUUUAAGCAGCAAAUUUAAAUGCUUUGCUGAUAGAUGCAACUGGCAAAAGAUAUGUGGUGACAGCUAUAAUUAACAAUAUUCAAUAGAAAGCAGAAAAUUUUAACAAGAACCAAAACAAAUGGUGAUUGUUAGGGAAAGAGCACAAUCCACACGACAUCAAGAAGCUUCGUAAGUAUAUACACUUUACUGGUAGGAUAUUAUCAUUUCCAUGCAAAAAUAAAUAACUUCUCUUACGAGAACUGAGAAGAAGACAAGUAAACAGUUAGAACAUCUGAAAAAGACCGCUACCUGUAAGCCAACCAGCAUACAAUCUCCUACAACCAAUAGGACAUUAAGGGCACGUUGUUUUGAUGAAAUCUUGCUUCUGUGUCGAUCAUAUGCCCUUGAAAUAGUCUUUACAGUUGGAGAAACCAGCCUGGAAUGGCAGACAGCGCAUUCUGCCAUACCGUUCUUCAUCAGCGACAGCUUAGGAUUUCAGCUCUAGAGAAAAUUCAGCUAAAUGAAAGAAACAUGGUGAGUACAACCAUUUAUUAGAACAAAAAAAUGAAAGAGAAAACAAGUAAACAAACAAAGUUUUCUUCUUCUUCUUUUUUUUCCUUUUGAUGAAGAGGAAUAAAUAAACAAACAAAGUAAGGUGACAGAGUAAGAGAAAGUUCUGGUAGUGUACUUGUCAAAUACUAUAAUUUAACAGAAUUAUAUAGCUCAUUCGCAUCAUUUCAAGACUAUUCCAUAUACCAUUUAAUGGCACAUUAUAAUAGUCAGUUCAAACAGCUUAAACAAAUCAAGUGAGAUACAUGCACAGGUCACCCAAAUCCUACAUUUUCUCCACCCUGUUAUGUAACUACCAUCAACCCAAACCACAUCUGCAGCAUAACGAUCUAUAUUGCAUAUCUCAUUCAUUCAUUCAUUCCCUAGACACACCCAUGUCAAAUGGGUGUAACGUGAGUAUGGCACUUAAUGCCUAUGUUGCGUGGACUCUCCGAUUUUGUGCCCGAACCCGUCUCGACGCGACGCUGACGCGGGUGUGGGUGCUUCUUGUGUCUCAGAUUCAGUCAAAUGAAUCCGGAUACCUUGACCAAAUAGAGCACAUUUGAGGGGGAAAAUUGAGAUUCAAAUUCUUACGCCGUACUUUUUCCAAAACAACGUAACUCCUAAUAGUACUCCUGGUUGAAAAAGUAAAACUAAUUGCAAAAGUAGCUAAAAAGAGUAAAGUAACAUAAGAGCUUAACCUAGAAUAUCUUUAGAACUCUAUUUUUAUAUUAUUUUAAUUUUUUUAGCCGAAUCCCUGCACCUGUAUCCAUACUCGAAUUCGCACCCCUGAAUUUAAAAUUUAAAUUUUGCCGAAUCCGACUCUCGGAUCCGCACCCGUCUCAAAUACCCGCACCCGAGUCCGAGCAACUUAGCUUAAUGCACUGCCAACAUGACAUAUCAGUAAUAGUAUGCACACACCUAUUGUGUAUAGUUGCUCAAAAAUGAAACAUCACUAUUACAAAUGCACAACACCAUCUGCAUACACGUAGUACUAUAUAUAAAAGACAUUGCUGAAUAAGUAACUUACUGAACAAAUGCACUUAUUCUUUUUUCAAUUGUUACAGCAGCUGCAGUUAUUGAGCAGUAUAAAAAGGUCACUUCACCUCUCUCCCUAACAUGAACAAAAGCAGAGAUCAUCCAAAUGCAAAAUUCAUAAAGCAUAGAUCUCAGUAUAAAUAAAACCAACAAAAAUCAAAUCUUUUUGGGAUGACAACAACUAAUUCACAUCCAGAAAAUAUUGAAUUGAACACAGAUCAAUCAUUUUGAUUAACAAAAAUGUAACAUCAAAUAGAUCUACAUGUCAAUCUUACAUUUAACAGAAAGAAUUCCCAUAAUUAAAAAAAAACUAACCUGUGAAUUAAUUACUUAACGAAUAAAUAUAUGUUGGCGGGAAAUGGACAGAAUAUUCCGGCCAGAUCCAGAUAACUCCGACCGACGGAAUUAAGUUGAGCUGAGACAAGUAACAACAAUUGUAGUAGAUUUAGUAAUAAUUGGAGAUUUAGGGCAAAUCCAAUAUGAAGGAAUUGAACUCUCCUUUUUUCUUUGAUGCAGAAGGGGGCUGGGGAUAUGAGUGAGUUGGGAAAGAGCUAAUUUUAUUUACUUUAUUUAUAUUUAAUUGCUUACUAUAUUAUAAUAAUAUUUUUAUAAUACUAAAGGGAGUUGCAAUUUAUUUGGUGUUAAGUUUGUGUGUCACUUUGCUUCCAUGGUAAAACAUAACAGGUGUGAAGUUCUUGUCACGUAAAGAGUAGUUAGUAGUAGCAGGGCAAUUCAGUUUUCUUUCACAAAACUAAAACUAUGAAAUGUAUAUGAUGACGAAAUAAAAUAUGGGAAAUUCAUCAAUCAAAAUUUCAUAAAGAAGAUAUAAUAUAAAGCGGCAAAUAAAUCAGUCCUUAGAUAUGUGAAUUGCAAGUUGCAUAGAAAGUCACUCUCAAAUAAUCAACUCUUGUAGCAAAAACGCAAAGCAGGAUGUUCAAAUAAAUAUAAAUACGUUUAUCUUCUAAAUUUUGUAGUUUGGUAAACUCAAUAAUUCGAAGUAUCUCGUACAAUAACAAUGUGAUUAUUUAACUUAUAAAAUCAUGCUUAGAGGAAAAAGAUGAUCAUGUAAUAAUAUUUUGGCAUAAUUUUAAAUACUAUCAAAUUAAUCUUGUACCAUACAAUAUGGAGAUAAUUAAGUAUGUCCAUGUAGCAAUCUGCUAUGGAUCUUGAUUAAAAUGAGUUGGGCCAAAAUAAGAAAGUAGCUCUAUUGGGAGAAGUUCAUAAGGCCCAUUGUGGUUGGACUAGCCCCUUUCUGUAUUAAAUUUCUUUCUUGGGCCCUUUGUGGACUAGCCCAUUUCUGUCUUAAGUUUCUUUAUUGGGCUUUUCCUUCUUUCAUAGUUUGGGUAAAAGGAAGGAAAGAACAGAACUUGGAUCCACAAUCUGUGCAUGUGCAGAAUCCAAAGGCCCUCCCACUUUUAUUUUGGGACUGUCGAAAUACAUAAUUAGCUUUUGAUACAUUUUUUUCGUUUUAGGUCUAUCGAGAUACAUAAUAUAUCCAACAAAUAUAUAUUUUAUUUCGAUUUUGAGUAUGUUGAGAUACAUAAUUAACUCCUAAUACAUCCAAUGAAGAUACAUAAUUAGUUGAGAUUUUUUUAAUUACUUUGUAAGGAUGCAGAUUUGUAUAAAUAUGAUAAGUUAAGAUGUAUGUUUAUCUUAUUUUUUCUUUUUUCCUACACUAUUAACAUGUAAAACAAUUGGUGAAGUUGAAAAGAGAAAAAAAAAAAAAAAACUAAAUAGAUUCUAGUAUUUUAAAUAAACUUAUCAAAUGGCAAAUAAAUUCACUCAUUCAUGUUGAACAAGUCAGGGGGUCGGGUGAAUUCAAUAAUAGACGCCUGUUGGCAUUCCAGGCUUCCUAUUCGAAAGAGAAUUCAUUAUUUCUUGAUCGUGAAUAUCUGAACUGGUUGUUCCUGGUUGUGCACCAUUCAAGAAUUCUUGUUUAGACAGUUUAGACGCCAAAAGAAAUAAGGUUGUCACGCUUCUCCACAUGGAUGAUACAUAGUAUAGUAUAAUGUGCCUUUUGAUAUUGUUGGCUUUGAUUUUCCAUGAUUUAAAUAAUUUAAAGUAUAAAUUAUUUCCAAAAAGAAAACGGUUGAUUAGAAGGAUCAACAAGAUAUUACUUAGCUUAAGAUAUAUACUAAUAAUUCAUUCGAAUAUGCAUGUAAAUAGUUUUGAUGAGAUAGGUUUUGGAUUUUGUAUUAUUUUGUAGACCAUACAGGGAUGGAGAUUGAUGAGGAAAAUAUAUUUUCAUAAUCAUAUCUAUCUUAAAAAUAAACAAACAACUUUUCGAUUGUGAAACCAUUUUACUUAGAAAAAUAAAUUAUUUAAGUUCCAUGCACUGAUAUAUUUUAUAUCUAUUGAUUUAUUUAAUUUCGUCAGUAAUUAUGAUAAUUACGUCAUGAACUAACUAUGUAUAAUCUUAAGUGCGGGUUAUGUAAUGAGCUUUCAAUUUAACUUAAUAGUGUAUACGUUGAAUUUAUCUACAUUGUAUCUAUAUUUAAUUCGUUAUACUUUUAAAACAGAAGUCCAAUGUGUUUGUUUUAACUGCUUUUCAAAAUUAAACCAAAGGUUGAUUUUGAAAAGGGAAAAAAAAUACUCCUAUUUAUAACAAAUUGUUCUUCGAAGUCUUAAUUUUAAAGAUUAAUACAUGACUUUCUUGCAACAAAAUUAAAUCAAAUGACAUUGACUGUUUUGUUAAGAAAAAGAAAUAUAAUUAAUAUAAUAAGUCUGAUCUCUUGUUCUAGAAGCUAAAUAUGUAGUAUUAGUUGGGAGGUCCUUGUCACUUUUAUGCUAAAAAUAAGAGGAUAAUUUAUCAAAUUAGAGGGUGCUUAAUGGUAAAAACCUUACACGCAUCCAGUAUAUGCAUCAAAUCAAAUUAAUGUUUUUUACCAUAAUUAAGCAAUUAAAUCAAGUAAAAUAUAUAUUAAUUAAUCAUGAUUAAGUAAUAAAAACUCUAAAUUUAACCAUGCUUAAUUCAGGUCGUUUCUUAUUACUAACCAAUAAUUUCAUGCCAAUAUAUACAAGUAGUACUUAGAUCCACUUUCUUUUUUCUUUCUAAAUUGGUUAAGUUUACUACUCCCUCCAUCUAUUAUUAUUAUUAUAUGGUGAUAUAGUGAAAUUGUCAGUAUAUUUAUUGGUUUUUACGAGGUGAGUCAAGUCAAUAAUAGUCGAGUAGAAAUGGACCGAAAGAAUACUAUCUAAUCAAUAAGUUCAUUAAUUUUACGGCUCCUAAAAGUUAUCAACCAAUCAAUAAUAAUUUAUUUUCUUUCAGUACGUAACUUUUACUUGACAGUAUAUGUUUAACGAAGAAAAAUAAAUAGUAGUAUAUCAUAUCAUGAAAACGUCUUUCCCUUUUUCGGUGUUCUUUUAGAUUGAAAAUGAAGUUAGUGAUUUGAUUUUUAAUUAGUUAAUCAAUUCACUGCACAUCUUUUAAUUGUGAAAUUUUAAUUUUAAGAACAAAAAGGGAAAAGCCAAAUCUCGAGUCCAAAUUUUAUGGUACCCAGCUAAUUGAUAAUCUUUUAAGAACUUCACAUUGUAAUUAAUUAAUUCCAACUUUUUUUUGUUUUUUCUCGAGUAGUAUAGUAUAAAAAGAAAAAGAAAACACGUACACGAGAUAAGUAAUAUAUAUUUUCUUAGUAGAUUGGAGAAAGAAAAUAUAAGUAGUAAUUAAUUGUCUGUAAAAGUAAGUCAGCUUGCAUCACAGUUAGUUAAUAAUUACACGUUAAGUAUUACGUUUUAACUACCGAUUUGAUCGAGUAAAAAGGAGGAGAAAAAUUCAAAACUUAACUGCUUUAAAAUCAAUUGGCAAUAAACAAUAUUGAUGACAAGGACAAGAAGAAUAGUAAGAUAUAAUUCAGAGUUUUCUUUUAAAAAUAUAUAUGCAAACAUGCAUAUCAACAUAAAAAAACAACGUUACAUGAAUUAAAAGAAUUUAGAAAUAACAAUUGUGAUUAGUGAUUGAGAUGGAUUGGUAGCAUAUAUAUUUGAGAUGAACACUGAUAUAUAUAGGGCUGAGUAUAAAAUAUUGAAAAUCAAAUUACCGAAUUGAAUCGAAAAAUUUGGUAAUUGGUAUUCGGUAAUUUGGUAUUUGGUAUGAUAUUCGAGAGUUAAAUUUCAAUAUUUUGGUAUUCGAGAUCAGAAUUUGAUCCAUGAUAUUAAUAUCGUUUUGGUAUUCGGUAUUUAUCGAAUAUCGAAUAUAUAUAUAUAUAUAUGUGUGUGUGUGUGUCUAACCCAAUCCAAUAGUAUUAGUUAUCCUAAAGAAUUUCUUGAACCUUGGUAAUAUAUUCGUAAAAAGCAACAAAAGAAUACUAAAUAGGGUUUCUAUUAAAUGUACUCUUUGAAGUUUAAAUGUACAUUUGCACAUCUCCAACUAUAAUAUGGUAUUACCAAAUACCGUACUGAACCGAAGUUUAAUUUACCGAUUAUCGAACCGAUGUUUAUAAGUAUGGUAUGCGGUAUCUAUGUUCAAAUACCAAUUACCUAAUUAUCAAAUUCCAACUUUUAAAAUAUCGAACCGAAUACCAAACUUCCAUCCCUAAAUAUAUAGUAGUAGUACAUUAUAAGCUUAAUUUCCCCCCUUGGUAGUCCCACCUUUAGGAUACAUUCAUUCAUGAGCUUAAUAAAUUAGAAAACUAUAUACUCCUAUAACAUUAUUCAUGAUUGUAGGAUGCAGUUUAAUCUCUAGGGUCAUUUCAUAAUUAUAAUAAUUAAUCCUAGCUACAUACAGAAUUAUUCUCUUUUAGGUUGGUGAAACAGAAGCAUACAUAUAUGCAUGCCAAUUUUCAACAAAAACGUUUUUUUGUGGGAGAUCAAUUAGCUAGCUAGGUUCCAGUCAAGUCAUAUAAUAUAAUAAUAAUGCUUAAUGAUCCAAUCAAAAGGCAAAACUUAAAGGGUUAAAACAAGAAGAAAAAGGACUACCUGAUUAAUUUUAGGGAAAAAUAUAUUGCAUGGUCAUUUUUAAAACAAAUUGUUCAAGUUUGAUAUUUUGUCAAAAAAUAGUCAGUCGACUAUUUUAUUUUCACAUUAUAAUUGUUUCCUAAUUUGGGUCAUGUUGGUCCAUGUAGUUCAGAUACAAUCGAUAUAUCAUAUUGAUACAGUUCAUAUACAAUACUGAUAUAGUUUCCAACUUGAAUCAUUCGGUCCUUUUCUAAAAAUAUUAUUUUUUUUCUUAUAAAUUUUUUAACUGAAAAAUAUUCUAUUUUUUAUUAUUAUUUCAAAAUAUUAAUUAAUUUUAUAUGACUAAUAUAAUUAAUUAAGGCCACUUGGAAACAAAGGCAAUAGGAAGAGUGUUAGGUGAUAACUGAAAGCUGAUGGCUUCCAUCCAUUCAUAUGUAUCUCGCCUCCCCCCCCCCUCCCCCACCCCUUGGUUUGGGGAGUGGAUUUAAUCAUCUUAUCAUGUUAGAUAUUAUAUUCAUAGAGGUUAAUGAUAUAUAGUUUGAUCAUCUAAUUAAUUUUUACAUAGAAAAAAUUGGAAAGCUUUUUAUAUUUCGAUGAGAAUCUAUUUCCAUCAUGUAUUUUUCCAGUGAGCCGGUUAGGUAAAAAUAGGGUGGAAAAACUAUAUUUUAUAACAUAAAUUUUUCAUUUAUUCGCGACGGAAAAAAAUUUAUAUUUAUAGUAGUGACAAAAAGUAAAUGUUCAAUGCAUACAAAAUAUAGUUGUUACAGUAUCAUAUGUACAUACACACAUAUAUACAUAUACAUAUACACAUAUAAAAAAAAUGUAUCCGUCUAACUCGUCUAAUUAAAAAGAUUGAGUUUCUUUUAAAAAAUAAAAACAAAUUAGGGGUCGGGAAUGGGGAAAUGAGAGAGGGAAUUACAAGGUGAAAAAUCGAACUCUCACCAAUAAAGUAAUAAUUCGAAUAUAUAUAGUCAACUGAUUGAGCUAUUAAAAUUUCCCACACCAAUACAUUCUUUAGGUUUUAUACUGUUCAGCUAGCAUUGGAUGCUAGUUACAUUACAUGACAAUUUAUCUUGAAAUCAGAAAGUAACACAUAAAUUGGGAUGGAUGGAGUAUACUAUAACUUUUACGGGUUGUUCUGGGAAACAAGUUAUCUCACCCUCAAGAUGGGACAAAAAUAAUAAUUAUAAUUUUGAGAUAAGUUAUAUCAUUUAUUUUAUUUCAAAUAAACAUGGAAUAAGCUUAUUCUAAAACUAAUUUGAUCGCAAAUUACUACUAUUAUUCUUUCUUUCUGUCAUUUAUUGACCUUGAAAAAGAAUCCACCCACCCCAACAAAAUUUAGUCAAUGUCGUGUUAAGGGACACCUCUACAUAUUAUUAAGAUUCUUAAAUACUUUUUAAACAAGACUAUUAGCUUUACAAGUCCUUUUUCAAGCCUAUUAUGAGUUGUUAUAAUUAAGAGAAGAAAAAAAAUUACAAUACCAUGUGAUUUUGUACUAACUACUAUCAUUGUCAAAUCCAUAAUAUACUACACAAAUAUUUUCCACAUGAAUUAGGUCCACUCAAUUUUCAGCAAAAAAUGUUCUUUCUUUUCUUUCUCUUUUUAAAUGUUUUUUUUUUUUUGUUAAUUUGAAGCAUUGCACUAUGUGACAAAAGAAUUGGACCAUGAUGGAAGGAGAAAAAUAAAAUGAACAUUACCGAUUAUUCUAGAUCAAUUUUUCUUUAAUUGAGAUAUCAAUUUGUAGGUUAAUGUUAGUUGUAUGAAUAAUAGGUUGUUUUAAAAAUAUUACCUUCAUUAUCCCUUCAAAACCAGAUGGGAUAUAAUAAUGUAUAAUUCCUUUUCAAUAAUUGGACAAUUUACGUUGACCAAAAAUUUUACAUAAAAUUUUUUUGAAGAUGCAAAUUUUGGAUGUCGAUGUACAAUUCUUUUUACUUUUUAUUUUUUGAACAUCCAAAUUGAAAGAGAAAGAGUAUUUUAUUUCGUAAAUUAAGAUAAUUAUCCUCUCAUAUGUUUAGGAACUUGUUGAAAUAUUUGUUUUCUUGCUCUCUCACUCGGUGUCUAAUACUUAUAUUCUGUAAUACUUAUAUUCUGGAUCGACUAAAUUCAACCUUGCACCGGAAUGAGAGAUAAACGGCAUUUCCUAAAAAAUACAACUUUAUGUCCAGGGCUUCAGCACGAAACUUCUAAUUAAGAAUGCAUACCACUCCAUCACAAACCUGGUGACACUACGAUAUUAUUUACAUGAUUGAAAUAGAGAAAAGUUUCAAAAUGUUUAGCAAAAGCUCAUACACAUUAUAGUACUCCAAAAUGUUUCUUUUUAUUUUGAUUGUAAGAUGCAGAUUUAUUGAUUGUCUGUAUUUAAUUUUUAUUUCCCUCUUAUUUUAAAAAAAUUAUUGAAGAAGUCUAGACGACAAGCUAAAACAGAUUACAAAUUUGACCAAAAAAAAAAAAAAAAAUUACAAACGAAACAAGUAGAUCAUGUUUAUUUAUUUGUAACCAUAUAAGAUACGUUGACGAACAAUACAUAUAAUAUAAUGAGACAUACCUUCUACGAAGAUGAUAAUAUAAUAAUUGGUAAACCAUGAUCCUCCAUGUGAUUAUAUUGUCAAUUAUACUUGAAAUAAACUUUAUAUAUUUAUGCAAAUUUCUCUUGAAAAUCAUAGAGGUGGGCAAUGUGUGUUGAGGCAUUAUUCUAGCACACCCUGAUCUCCAUAUUAAAAUUAAAUCAAUAUAUUGAAGGGAGUCAAUAUCAAAAUAUCGUAUAUGCUUUAAAUUUGAACAUUUUAUUUGGAUACAAAUGUUAAUGAAAUGUUAUCAUUUUCUUACCUUUUGGCUUUUUUUUUUUUAAUGGAAAAAAAAAUGAUAUGUAGUUCUUUUAGCGUUGGAAAAAUUUUUUUAGGAGGAGAAUUUUCUCUAAAUAUUUUUUACACUUUUUUUUAUCAUGAAAUUGCUAAUAUGAAUGUCAAUUGAUCAAUCCACAUUAUUUUAUUAUGUCAUCACUUUGAUAUAUUUCUCUUUGUUACGUUAUCUGAUUUACUAUCAUCCAAAAAUUUGCUUUAUCAAUUUUCACAUGUCACCAAAUUAUUUCAAUUGGAUCGUAUAGAUUGCUGCUCUCUAGUAAAUAUGGGAACAUAAAGAGAAGUGCUAAUAUAAUUAUCUCUGGUUAAGGAUUUAAAAAUGAAAAGCAUUUUGAUUUACAUUAUGAAUAAAGUACUGUAUCGUAUUCUGUUUUAUCGAAAGAAGUUACACAUUAAAGAAAUAGUAUGUAAUUUGCUUGGGGAACGUGAAAACCAGUAACCGUUACCUCAAACAAUAUAGUUUAUUAUGAUCAAGUAAAAAAUACUAUUAUAUAUGUGUGUAUUAAAUUUUACAAAAUUUCAAUUUAAUUUCUUUAGAACAAAAUUAUUGUGUAAAUAUAAUUUCAAGAUUCAAAUAUUCUUUUUCAAAUUCAAACUCAUUUCUUAUUAGGAUUCAUUAGAUCCAACCUUAUCUCUCCCUCACGGAUAUACUUUCUACUCUUCUUCUCCUUAGACGUAGAAAUAUUUUUUUUGAUUUUUCAUUUGGUGUUCGAUAUCCGUAUUGGAGCCCGACUAAUUCAGAUUCGUACCGCGUAGGGCCUAUUCGGAGGAAGCAUUCUCUACCAAAGAUUUUUCCAUACCCAGGGCUCGAACCCGAAACCUCCGGUUAAGGGAGGAGCAGUUUCAUUCACUGCACCACAUCCUUUGAUGGUGACGUAGAAAUAUUGUUUAUUAGUUCAUUAUAAUUUUGAAAUCAUACCAGCAACGCGAGAGAAUUGAGUGUACGCAGUUCAUAUUACUACGCUUAAAUUUUUAGUAUUGAGGGAUUGCUUGCAAGCAUUAUACGAAUAAUUCUCACAAUGAUGAGUGGGGGACUUAAGAAACUAGGCAGGAUUUUUUUUAUUUGAAAACGAUCGAACAACAAAAAAGCUACGUAUAAAAUGCCCUUUUUGUUACCUCUUUCUAUCAUGUUAUUAAUUGUUGAGUGUGUGUUUACAUAUUUCUUUGCUGUUCGACACUUAGAUCGAUCACCAUUGAACAUAAUUUAAAAAAUAAUGAAUUGCCUUCACAUGCAGGACCAAAAAAUUGCAUAUCACUAUAUUGUUUGAAAUAUACAUUAUACAUAUAUGGAAAAGAAAACUAUGUAUCCUAAUUAACAAGUCUUUCACAGUGGAGUAGUAGUGGAUCACAAAGGCUUGUAUGAUUCUUGAUUUAUUAAUUAAAUAUCUAUAUACGAAUCGGAUUCUUGGUAAAUAUAUUUUAAAGUAUGUAUAGGUACUAAUGAGGCGAUUUUAGAAUUUCUAAAUUAUAAGUGUACUACUAAAAAACGAAGAAGGGGGGAUUGAUCUUUAGUCCUCUUGGUAAAUGAUUAUACUAAGCUUUAACUUAAUGCACCGUCAAGUCUUUUAGUAGCUUGGGUGCGUGCCAACAGGUGAUAUUAGAUUAAUUCUAGAAAAUAUAUACAUAUAAUAUUUAGUUUUACGGAAAAAGCAUGAGUUCACAUGCCCUAUAAAUUACACCUAAGAUCCCUUUUGAAUGAAUCCUAUAAGUUAGUAACCAUGUAAAAAUUUCUUAAAAAGUGAUCGAAUCGGUUCAAAAUAAUAGAUGUGGAUCUAGAACAAGUUUGGUAAGUUAAUUCAACCAUAUCCAUUAUUGCUUUUGAGUCAAUACAAGAAAAUAAACUAAACUAACAAUUUGUUUUUAGAUAAUUCACUUUAAUUUCUUAAAUUUCAAGUGACAUGAUUCAUCUUUUGGAAGCAGUAAAAUUGAAUGAUCAAAGUUUUGAUUCAAUAGAAGAAAUCAUGUACACAUAGAAUUAGAUCACACUAAUUAACUAAUUAUUUUAAAUUAUGGGUGAAGAUUUAAAAUAUUGAAUUUAUCUCUGGGUGAAAAUUUGAAUUAAACGGUUGGAAAGAGAACGUUAUCAACUGAGUCAACUUCUCCCAAAUUCCAACUCGAAUCUGUCUACUUUGAGGGCUUACAAAAGGCAUCAUAUUAAUUAAUUAUUUAAAGGUUUUCUAUUGUUUUAGUUUUACAAGGACUUACACCAAGAAAUAAUUAAAUGUACUAUAUCUGUUUUGCUCAGACUGUGUUAACAGUUAACACUACUGCAAACAUCAAAUAAAUGGUAUAUUUGGAUUAAACUUUUAACUAAAGGAAGAUUUCUAGUAAUUUGUAUUAUUAGAAAAUGGAGGGAUAGAAAAUGAAAUUUUCUGAAAGGAAAGUAUCAUUGGUUUAUAGAUCUUUUAAAAUAUUUGUAAAAAAGGUGGCGUAACGGAAUAUAGAAGCAAAAUAAAGUCAACUAAUUAGUAAUUAAUUAAGUAUUAACAUUGUGUCGGCUUGUAUAUUUGGAAUUAGUAAUAGUAGUUGGUUAUACCCAGUCAUUCUCUUUCUGAUACUAUACAAAAAUGAAGAGAAAAACCAAAAAAAAAUAAAAAAAUACAUUUUCAGCAUAAUUUCUUUAUGUAUAUAUACACCACCAUUCACCAAUGAUAUAUACUAUACCAUGAAAAAGGAACUUUCACAUUACAUAAUAAACGUGGUAUUAUAAAUUUUGAAUUAGUAGUAUUAGUGCAUACCAAGUCUCCAUAAACAAGUUAUUAUAAUAUUUUAAUUUCAUGUAUAUUAAAUUUUCAGUAAUGUCUCAAGUAGACAAAAUGCUAAUUCUUUAGUUAAUUGAUAAUGAAGAAACAACAAUAAAAAUAAUAUUUCUAACUUCUAUUUACUAUUAUUUAUUCAUCAUGUAUGUACGAAAACAAUAAGAGAGUUCCAUUUGGAAUUGUUGAGGUUUUAAUGUCAAACAAAAUGUCCCCUUCAAAGGUUUCUUGUGGACUAUUUCCAUAUUUCCAGUUGGCAAAGAAAUAAUUUUCAAUAGCAUGCAUCGAUAUUAAUUCAACAAAUUAAACAUAACUUUCGAACUAUAUAUGCAUUUUCCAUAGUUAAGGGUUACUUUUUAUUGAAGCUAUGAUCAAGAAAAUACACACCGGCCCCAGCUUGGUGCUCUUUUUCAAGAAAAUAUCUAUUCGAUCUUAAUUAGUGUAUACAUCAAGUUAAUAAAUAAUUUAAUCGUUAAGUUACAAAUCGAUCAAUAUAGUGAAACGUAUGUACGUAUAUCACAUGAACGAAGCAUGCAUAUUUAUUGUUUUGUCGUGAAGAUGGAGUAAAUAUUUUUCUCUAAUUCACCGAGUUAAAUGUGAUACUGUAGAGUCCCUCAACUUCAAUGAUUUGAGUUUUAAAAUGUUACUGCCUAAAAAUCUGAAAUAAUCUCUUGUUCAAUAUUCUUAAAGUUAAAGAAAGGGUAAAUUUGAUGUAUUUUAACUUUAAUGAGUUAAUCUAUGUAACCAUAUUUGAGGUACCACGUGCAAAUAUAGAAGGAGAAGAUAACUAAUAUGAGUUGUGGUGUAGUGGUAGGAUUAUUCCAUCUUUAAUCAGAGGUUUCGACUUCGAGUCCUUGGUAUGGAGAAAAUUAUGUUGGGAGCAUCAAUCCUAGAAUGGGCCUGCAGUCCGCGAUCCGGAUUAGUGGAGGCUCUAAUGUGGGUACCGGACAUCGGGUAAGAAACCAAAAAAAGAAAGAAGAUAAGAUUUUUGUUCAUUGGCUUUUUUAAGUGAGAAUUUGACUUUAAUUUAGGGAGAAUUAGUAGUGUUUUCACUUAAUUACUUUUUGAGAUGACUCGAAUUCUCAAUCUAUCAACUGCUGGCGAUGAUACUCAACUGUUUGAGAGAAUUGAACUUUUUUAAUGUCUCUUUGAAGAUAAAAUGAUUACAUGAAUAAGUAAGGUUUGAUUAUUGAACCCUUUGAACAAGAAAUGGGAAAAUAUAUCCAAAUUAAAGGCAACUCCACCAACCCUUAUUCCAUAGGACCCCCACCUCCAACUCCAACCCCACCAUGGCUGCUAGGAAAUUGAAGACAACAAUUAAUAAAGACCAAAUUCUAUGAUCUCAGUAUGUUCAUUAUUAGACUUUAAUAUAGAGACAACACAAAUUAUUGAGUAAUAGCAUGUAUAUUGAAGAGUGAAAAUGUUAGUUAAAAUUAAAGACGCUCCGUUUCCCUUUCACAAUUAUAGCAUGCGUCUCUGUACAUAUUGUUAUGUUCUUUUUGUAAAUCUAAUAGUAUAUACAUAUAUGUAGCAGGUAACCACUUGUAAGACAAUGGAAAUUGCAGAAUGAUUAAGUAAUGGAAAUGUUUUUUUUAAAAAGUUUUUGAUUAAGUCCAGCUGUAUAGAGUUCAUUUUUUGAAAAGUCUUUAUUCACAAUCAGACAAACUGAAUUGGUGGCAAUUGACAGCUCCACACCAACGACUGCUUUAUACUAAGAGUGUUACUAUAAAUACUUUGCUCAUUGCUGCGAAUUAAGUCAUCACCUCUCUAACUAAACCACUAAUUUCUCUUCCUCUUUACUUUCUGACUAACUACUAGUCGAAAGAGUCUGAUCUAUAGCCAUCUUUGAGGAGCUGGUGGUGCAAUUUUCCAGCUAGCAAUGAGGCUUCUUGGUGGCGGCCCCGGUAGGGGUCGUCAUUUGCCACAUAUCUUAGUGGCAUUGGCGGCCAUUUUGGCUGUUGCUAAUGUUGUUUCUGCUGAUCCUUAUGUAUAUGCUUCUCCACCUCCACCACCUUACGAGUACAAGUCGCCACCCCCUCCUUCUCCCUCUCCACCACCGCCUUAUGAGUACAAGUCGCCACCACCUCCUUCUCCAUCUCCUCCACCGCCAUAUGAAUACAAGUCGCCACCACCUCCUUCACCAUCACCUCCACCACCAUACUACUACUCUUCCCCACCACCUCCGAAGAAGUCACCUCCACCACCAUACUACUACUCCUCUCCACCACCACCCGAGAAGUCACCUCCUCCACCAUACUACUACUCCUCUCCUCCACCCCCGGAGAAGUCACCUCCACCACCUUACUACUACUCUUCUCCACCACCCCCCAAGAAGUCACCUCCACCUCCAUACUACUAUAGUUCUCCACCACCACCCGAGAAGUCACCUCCACCACCUUACUACUAUUCUUCUCCUCCACCACCCGAGAAGUCACCUCCACCACCAUACUACUACUACUCUCCUCCACCACCCAAGAAGUCACCUCCACCUCCAUACUACUACAGUUCUCCACCACCACCAGUUAAGUAUCCUCCUCCACCAUACUACUACCCUUCUCCACCACCACCCAAGGAAUCACCUCCUCCACCAUACUACUACUCCUCACCACCACCACCCAAGAAGUCACCCCCACCCCCAUACUACUACUCCUCUCCUCCACCACCAGUUAAAUAUCCUCCUCCACCAUACUACUACUCUUCCCCACCACCACCAGUUAAGUACCCUCCUCCACCAUAUUACUACACUUCUCCUCCACCACCUACUCCUUACUAUCCUCCUCAUCACCCCUUGAUUGUUAAGGUUGUAGGAAAAGUCUACUGCUACAGAUGUUAUGACUGGAAAUACCCAAAGAAAUCCCAUGACAAGAAGCACCUCAAAGGUAUACCACUCUUCUACACUUCAUUCCUCUCUUACAUUAUUUUUUUUUCCUUGUUUAGUACAUUUCUUCAUAACUAUAUUCUGUUAGAUAUUUGUUUGUGAAUCUUUUACUCUCUUUAUUCUUAAAAUUAUAUAUAACAUGAGACAUGCGUGAAUUUGAAGGCACCACCCUAUUCAUUUAAAUGACUUUAGGGACUUAAAUCCAACCAACAUUCUUUCUAUAUUUAUGAAGUAUAGAAAAUGAAAGUGAUAUUUCAUUUCUGUGAAAGCAAAAUCUUGUAUACAGAGUUAAUUAUAAUGGCGAGUUCUCAAAAAUAUUACUUACUAAAUAGUUUAUUAUCUUCAAGUAUGUAGUUCUACUUGCUUUAAAGAAAUAGUUCAAAAUUUGGUAACUCUUUGCUAUAUUACCCUACAAAAAGAUGAGAUAUAUUUGUCAAAAAAAGGGUUUUAAAACCAUUGAAGAAGUUUUUUACAACGAAAUCAUGAAAACGCAUCAGAAGUAAAAGUAAGAAAACAUCAUCACUUAAUUAUGCUUGCCAUACAAAAGGUAUAUUCAUUGAUUAUGCAAUUAUUUGUGGUAUUAUAUAUAUAUAUAUGAUUUUCUUUUUCAUGAUUAAACAAUUAUUAACUUGAUCUAUUAAAAAUAUAUUAUAACAAUAAUAAAAAAGUUUCAUUGAAUAUCACCAAAAUGUUGAAAAAAACAAAGAGGUAAUUGGAGACAGAUGGAUAGAUUCUUGACUUUGAAUUGCUUAUUAGCUAAUAAAGAGGAAAAGCAACAUGAAUAAGUGGAUAAUGAGCUUUUGAUCAUGUGAUGGAAUACUUAAUUUUAUAGUAAGGAAAGGACAACGUUGGUUAUUGUAGCUAGUGGGCAAAAUAAGCUAAAAAAUAUGUCUAUAUGAUCUAGUUAAUGACUCAAUUAUUAAGUACUAAUUGCAUUAUUAUCAAUUUUCACACUUGGUAUAUACUAUAUAUAUAGGUGCUGUUGUUGAGGUGACAUGCAAGGCUGGUUACAAAGAAAUCAAGAGCUAUGGUACCACUAAGAUUAAUGGCAAGUUUAGUAUUACUGUUGAAGGAUUUGAUUAUGCGAAAUAUGGAGCAGAUGCAUGCAUAGCUAAGCUUCACAAAGCACCAAAGGAUUCAAAAUGUAACAUCCCAACAAAUCUUCAUUGGGGUAUGAAGGGUGCUAGCCUCAGGGUGAAAUCAAAGGAUCAUUAUGAAGUUGUGCUCUAUGCAAAACCAUUUGCUUAUGCUCCAAAAACUCCAUAUGAAGAAUGCAUGAAGCCUAAGCCAACUCCAGCUCCUUACUACUACCAUUCUCCUCCACCACCAUCGCCGACAUACGUAUACAAGUCACCACCUCCUCCAUCACCCAAAUACGUGUACAAAUCACCACCUCCUCCAUCACCUAAAUACGUGUACAAGUCGCCACCCCCUCCAUCACCUGAAUAUGUGUACAAGUCCCCACCCCCUCCAACCCCAACUUACGUGUACAAGUCACCACCACCUCCAUCACCUGAAUACGUAUACAAGUCCCCACCACCUCCAUCACCGAAGUACGUGUAUAAAUCCCCCCCACCGCCACCAUACUACUACAAGUCCCCCCCACCUCCAUCACCUGAGUACGUAUACAAGUCUCCCCCACCUCCAUCCCCAAAGUACGUGUACAAGUCCCCGCCCCCUCCAUCACCUGAAUACGGGGACAAGUCCCCACCACCUCCCUCACCCGAAUACGUGUACAAGCCCCCACCCCCUCCAUCACCUGAAUACGGGGACAAGUCCCCACCACCUCCCUCACCCGAAUACGUGUACAAGCCCCCACCCCCUCCAUCACCUGAAUACGGGGACAAGUCCCCACCACCUCCCUCACCCGAAUACGUGUACAAGCCCCCACCCCCUCCAUCACCUGAAUACGGGGACAAGUCCCCACCACCUCCCUCACCCGAAUACGUGUACAAGCCCCCACCCCCUCCAUCACCUGAAUACGGGGACAAGUCCCCACCACCUCCCUCACCCGAAUACGUGUACAAGCCCCCACCCCCUCCAUCACCUGAAUACGGGGACAAGUCCCCACCACCUCCCUCACCCGAAUACGUGUACAAGCCCCCACCCCCUCCAUCACCUGAAUACGGGGACAAGUCCCCACCACCUCCCUCACCCGAAUACGUGUACAAGCCCCCACCCCCUCCAUCACCUGAAUACGGGGACAAGUCCCCACCACCUCCCUCACCCGAAUACGUGUACAAGCCCCCACCCCCUCCAUCACCUGAAUACGGGGACAAGUCCCCACCACCUCCCUCACCCGAAUACGUGUACAAGCCCCCACCCCCUCCAUCACCUGAAUACGGGGACAAGUCCCCACCACCUCCCUCACCCGAAUACGUGUACAAGCCCCCACCCCCUCCAUCACCUGAAUACGGGGACAAGUCCCCACCACCUCCCUCACCCGAAUACGUGUACAAGCCCCCACCCCCUCCAUCACCUGAAUACGGGGACAAGUCCCCACCACCUCCCUCACCCGAAUACGUGUACAAGCCCCCACCCCCUCCAUCACCUGAAUACGGGGACAAGUCCCCACCACCUCCCUCACCCGAAUACGUGUACAAGCCCCCACCCCCUCCAUCACCUGAAUACGUAUACAAGUCUCCACCACCUCCAUCACCGAAGUACGUGUAUAAAUCCCCACCACCGCCACCAUACUACUACAAUUCUCCUCCACCACCGUCGCCAUCUCCUCCUCCACCAUACUACUACAAGUCUCCACCACCACCGGAACCAUCUCCUCCACCACCAUACUACUACAAGUCUCCUCCCCCACCAUCACCGUCUCCUCCUCCACCAUACUACUACAAAUCCCCACCACCACCAUCCCCAUCGCCUCCUCCACCAUACUACUACAAGUCCCCACCACCACCAUCUCCAUCACCCCCACCUCCAUACUACUACAAAUCCCCACCUCCACCGUCACCGUCUCCUCCUCCACCAUACUACUACAAAUCACCACCACCCCCAUCACCAUCACCGCCACCUCCUUACUACUACCACUCUCCACCACCCCCAUCACCAUCACCCCCACCUCCUUACUACUACCACUCUCCACCACCACCAUCACCAUCUCCCCCUCCUCCUUACUACUAUCACUCCCCACCACCACCAUCACCAUCUCCCCCACCUCCUUACUACUACCACUCCCCACCUCCACCCGUGAAGUCUCCUCCUCCUCCAUACUACUACAACUCACCUCCCCCACCCGUAAAAUCACCUCCGCCUCCAGUAUACAUCUACACUUCUCCACCAC